rnacentral:rRNA from 1 species
GACGUCCUGGCUACAGGACGAACGCUGGCGGCGUAGCCUAACACAUGCAAGUCGAGCGGGGAUCAGGGAAGAGCUUGCUCGGAACUGAUUCUAGCGGCGGACGGGUGAGUAACGCGUGAGCAACCUGCCUUCAACAGGGGGAUAACGCAUCGAAAGAUGUGCUAAUACCGCAUAAGACCAUAGCACAGCAUGGUGACAGAGGUCAAAGGAGCAAUCCGGUUGAAGAUGGGCUCGCGUCCGAUUAGCUAGUUGGUGAGAUAACAGCCCACCAAGGCGACGAUCGGUAGCCGACCUGAGAGGGUGAUCGGCCACAUUGGAACUGAGAUACGGUCCAGACUCCUACGGGAGGCAGCAGUGGGGGAAUAUUGGGCAAUGGGCGAAAGCCUGACCCAGCAACGCCGCGUGAGGGAAGAAGGGUUUCGGCUCGUAAACCUCUGUCCUAUAGGACGAAGGAAGUGACGGUACUAAUAGGAGGAAGCCCCGGCUAACUACGUGCC